AAACUAAGGAUUAGAUACCCUAUUAUUUAAAAUAUAAUUAUAAAUACUUAAGUAGUAGUAGUUAUGUUCUUGAAACUUAAAAAAUUUGGCGGUAUUUUAGUCUAUCCAGAGGAACCUGUUUUGUAAUCGAUAAUCCACGAUGGACCUUACUUAAGUUUGUAAUCAGUUUAUAUACCGUCGUUAUCAGAAUAUUUUAUAAGAAUAAAAAUAUUCAAUAAUUUAUAUUAAAAUUUAUAUCAGAUCAAGGUGUAGCUUAUAUUUAAGUAAUAAUGGGUUACAAUAAAAGUAUUUAAACGAAUAAAAUAAUGAAAAAAUUUUUGAAGGUGGAUUUGGUAGUAAAAUUAUAAAGAUUAAUAAUUUGAUUUUAGCUCUAAAAUAUGUACACAUCGCCCGUCGCUCUUAUUAUUAAGGUAAGAUAAGUCGUAACAUAGUA
rnacentral:rRNA from 1 species